rnacentral:rRNA from 1 species
UACGUAGGGGGCAAGCGUUGUCCGGAAUCAUUGGGCGUAAAGCGCGUGUAGGCGGCUCGGUAAGUCCGCUGUGAAAGUCCAGGGCUCAACCCUGGGAUGCGGGUGGAUACUGCCGAGCUCGAGUCCGGAAGAGGCGAGUGGAAUUCCUGGUGUAGCGGUGAAAUGCGCAGAUAUCAGGAGGAACACCAAUGGCGAAGGCAGCUCGCUGGGACGUGACUGACGCUGAGACGCGAAAGCGUGGGGAGCAAACAGG